UCCGGUUUGUCACCGGCAGUCUCCCAUGAGUCCCCAACUUAAUGAUGGCAACAUGGAACGGGGGUUGCGCUCGUUGCGGGACUUAACCCAACAUCUCACGACACGAGCUGACGACAGCCAUGCACCACCUGUGAUGGUGUCCCGAAGGAAAACCGUGUUUCCACGGCGGUCACCAACAUGUCAAGCCCAGGUAAGGUGGGGAUGACGUGCUCGGAUUCUAAG
rnacentral:misc_RNA from 1 species